GACAUAGGGUGCAAACGUUGUUCGGAAUUACUGGGCGUAAAGCGUGUGUAGGCGGCCUUAUAAGUCGGAUGUGAAAGCCCAGGGCUCAACCCUGGAAGUGCACUCGAUACUGUAAGGCUCGAGUACUGGAGAGGUUGGUGGAAUUCUCGGUGUAGAGGUGAAAUUCGUAGAUAUCGAGAGGAACACCGGUGGCGAAGGCGGCCAACUGGACAGAUACUGACGCUGAGACACGAAAGCGUGGGGAGCAAACAGG
rnacentral:rRNA from 1 species